rnacentral:lncRNA from 1 species
CGUGCCGUCGGGUUACCGUUUAGUCGGGCACGUUCGUCUCGGCGCUCUUCCUCUGUGAGCUGAUCUGGCGUCCGGCGUGAUCCAGUAGAUCUGGCCUCUCCUCGCCUGCAGCAGGACGGAGGGGGAGCUGGCCCCAUACGUCUUAUCUCUAGCAAAGCCAGUGUGAACUGGCUCUGUCCAGGUGACUGUCCUCUUCUUCCUCCUCCUGAAAACUGUUUACAUUUUAAAGAGAGACAGUCUCCAGCCUGAGGAAAGCAGGCCAGGGAAGGCAGGGUGAGUGUGAGUGUGUGCACCGGCGCAUGUCGGGGGCUAGAGAGACAGGGAGAGAGAGAUGGCUGGGCAGCUUCUGAAAGAGGGUGAGGGAGGGCUUUCCCUGUUUCCUGAAAUCACCUCAGAUCCCAAUUCAGUUAGCACAUGGAGACACUUACUUUGCGCCGGGCACUUCGUUGCACACCGUCUUAGUGGAGCAAGCUCUGGGUUUGGAGCUGUGAGAUCCAGCUGGAAUUCUGGCUCUCUCCCCAUGAAUUUCUUCUUACAGUGGUACAUCUUGUUCAUGGCACUUACCACUAUGCAGUUAAAUGCUUGUAUAGUCAUUUUAUCCAGUCAGCACACAUUUAUAGAGUGCCCACUAUGUGCCAAUAAAGGAGCCCUUGCUGAGCUUGUAGUCAGACAGAGAAAAAGCAAUAAAUAUAAUAACUAAAUCCUAUCUGUUGGAAGGGGGCCAAUUGUAUAGGGCUUUGCAGACAUUUCAUGGACUUUGGCCUUAAUGUGAAAGAAAAGGGGAGCCAUUCGUGGGUUUUGAACAGCAAAUGGGCAUUUACUUUUCACAAGGAUAGUGCUGGCUGCUGUGUUGAGAAUAGACUGUAGGAGAUAAUUGAACAAAACAGAGGCCACAGUAGCGAUCCUGGUGAAGGGGCAUUCUCUCAGGCCAGGGGGUAGUGCUGGAGGUGGAGAGAAGCGGUCACAUUCUGAAUAUGUUUUCAAAAAUGGAAUAAAAAAGAUUCUUGUCUGAUUGUGGGAUGUAGAGAUCUCAAGGGAUCAAAGAUAACUCCAAGCAGCUGGAAGGAUAGAGUUGCCACGGACUGAGACCAGAAGACUGUGGAGAAAAGCUAUAGAAGAGCUUAAUUUUGGACGUAUUAAGUUUGAAGUGUCUACUGGGAAAACUAGUGGAGAGGGUGACUAGGCUCAUGUCUGGAGAGGGCUGGGCUGGAGAUAGAAAUGUGGGGUUGUCAGAAUACACCGAGGUGGCGCUGAAUGCUGGGAGGCUGGAGAGACCACCGAAAGAGUGAGUAGGGCAGGGAGUCUAGGCACUGAACCUGGGCUGCCAGUAUGCACAUCACAUCUGUUCCCUCUGCUCGGCUAUAAUUCCCAUGAUCCUCCCCUGUUCAGGGCUCCAUCCGCAGUGCCUGCCCAGAGAACAUCUAUUCAAUGAGUGGACCUAAUCUCUCUGCCUCUUCCUCUCAUCACAUGUAAAAUGAACAUACACAGGAUACCUACCUUAUAAGGUCAUUGUCAGGAAAAGUUAAAUGAG